GAUUGAACGCUGGCGGCAUGCCUUACACAUGCAAGUCGAACGGCAGCGCGGGAGCAAUCCUGGCGGCGAGUGGCGAACGGGUGAGUAAUACAUCGGAACGUGCCCAAUCGUGGGGGAUAACGCAGCGAAAGCUGUGCUAAUACCGCAUACGAUCUACGGAUGAAAGCAGGGGAUCGCAAGACCUUGCGCGAAUGGAGCGGCCGAUGGCAGAUUAGGUAGUUGGUGAGGUAAAGGCUCACCAAGCCUUCGAUCUGUAGCUGGUCUGAGAGGACGACCAGCCACACUGGGACUGAGACACGGCCCAGACUCCUACGGGAGGCAGCAGUGGGGAAUUUUGGACAAUGGGCGAAAGCCUGAUCCAGCCAUGCCGCGUGCAGGAUGAAGGCCUUCGGGUUGUAAACUGCUUUUGUACGGAACGAAACGGCUCUUUCUAAUCAAGAGGGCUAAUGACGGU
rnacentral:rRNA from 1 species